CUUGAUGAAAACUGACGUUGCGACAUUUUAUGAGAAGUAAUUGAACAAGAAGAGACUACCAAAUCACAGACCAAAAAUUCCAACCAAUGAAGAUAUCUCUUUUCACCAGCUGUCUUCUGCUACUGUUGGCCGUUUCGGUCAUUCAGGGCCUCGGCUUCUACAAGCACACAUAUACAAAGAUAACCACUACCACGACCUAUAGAGUCGUUAAGAAGCCUGCCAAAUCAUCUAGCAUCUCAAAUACAAACACCGUAACUACAACCAGCUACAGCUGCCGCAACCCCACGACGAACCAGUUCACCUACAAAGAUGGCGAUGUGUGGACCAAUAACUGUGUAACGUACAAAUGCACCGUCAACUACAGUGCUGGGACGGUCAAAUCCGAAAUACAGACAACCAAGUGCAUGGACGAUUCGAAGACGUGCAGAGUCCCAGGGGAGAUAUUUACCUUUACUAUGAUUGGUCAAACUUACAACACCUGCAAAUGUAGCAUCGACGAAUCCAAUGGAAAGGCAACCAGGAACUACUCGUGCAAAUAAGAAGUAGAAUGCUUUCCAAUGAGUAAUAUCAAGAAAAAGUCAAGACGGAAUAUUUUGAACUUAAGAAAAGCCAAAAAGUGUUUCCAGGUUUUCCUGAACUCAGAUAAUUGAUUUAUUUUAUCAAUUCUCUGCAAAGAUGAAAUCAAGUCGAACAAAAUGAUACAUCAUUGACUUAGAGCUCCAAAUGUGCCAAUGAUAAAAGACAUAUGUUACAUUUUAUCGUAAGUGCAAAAUCUUCCAGUCUUUACUAUUGUUCUUGGUAAUCUAUACUUGGUGUUAUGAAUAAAGGCUUGUGAAUGCUUUUACUUCAGUUAUGUAGCCUAUAGGAAGCCUCUGUGUAAAUGUCUAAUAAGAUACCAGUAAAAGCAUUUAUUAUAAAUAUUUAUUCAUAACAACCACUGGCAUGUCGCAGAAGUGCGAUGGCAGAUGUCGACGUCACGUGAUCCUCUGUAAUCAUAAGUAUGACAGCCGAACUUCAUGUAUGACAUGAUCCAGAACUUAAAAAUAAAUAAAAUUACAAAAACC